GACAAUAACGGUCGAGCACCGAGUCCGAACAGGAGGACGAGUCGGAGGAGAGUGAGACGGACGAGGAAGAGGCAUCGCGUUCCAGCGCCGACAAACCCGGUGACCAGGUCCACAGUGUGGAGCAGGUGCUGUGCUGCCCCCCGCCGGCCCCCCACAUGCCCAUGUACACGCCGCUGACCAGCGCCUUCCCCCUGCCCAGCCCCCCGCUGGGUACCAGCUACCACGACGGCGACCAGGACCUGGACGAUGACUACGAUUCCUAGCUCCCACCGCCAGCGGCCACUGGCCGGCAACGCCAGCGUUUUACUCCCCGCGCCAGAGAGAGCGCGUGCGUGCGCGUGUGUGUGUGGCUGCGUGUGUGUGUGUGAGCUUGUGUGUACAUCUGUGCGUGUGUGUGUGUGUGUGCAUAUGUGUACGUAUAUCCUGUCUCCGCUUCCUCCCUCCCUCCC